GCCAGAGUGGUGCAAUGGUUCGAGCGUUACAUUGUGACUCUGGAGACCUGGGUUCGAAUCCUGGCUCAGCCA